UAAAUAUUGUUUUUUUAUUUUUUGGUAUUGCAUAUCAUUUAAAGAAAAUUUUAUAAUAAUAAAAUAUAGAAUUAAAAGGUAGAAAUUUUUUUAUUUUUAUUGUUUCAUAAUAAAAAUUAAAAAUUUUAGGGUUGAAAAGUCGACUUUUAGUAUAUCUGUUUAUUAUUUUUUAUUAGAAAUUUAUAAAGUUUUUUGUAUUAUUUGUAGAUAGUAAAAGUUGAAGUAUUUUUAUUUUUAGUUUUAUAACUGUUUAUAAUUUUUUUAUUUUGUUUUGUGAAAUAUUCAUUAAUUUUUUAAUGAUUAAAUUAUUUUAAAAUUAGUAAAUUUAAAAAAUGUAGUUAAUAAUUUUAAUUUAAUUAAAUAACUAAAGAGUUAAUCAAAUGUUUUUUAAAGACUUAGACUUUUAAAUAAAGUUUGCUUCUGCCCAAUGAUUUAUUAAAUGGCAGUCUUAGCGUGAGGACAUUAAGGUAGCAAAAUAAUUUGUGCUUUUAUUGAGUUCCAGUAUGAAUGAAGUUAUUGGUUAAUUAUUUUUUUAUUUUUUUUUUGAAUUUUAUUACAGUAUAAAAAAAUAUUGUUAUAAUUAUACAAAGAUAAGUCUUCGGAAAUUCUUUUAAAAAUUUUAUAAGUUUAUUAUUAAGUUUUUAAAUUUUCUAGGGCAGAAUUUUAUAUAAUUUAUUAAUCUAUUAAUAAAUUUUAGAAUUACUCCGGAGUUAACAGAAAAUCAUACCUAAUCUAGUUCUUAUAGUAAGGUAAGUUUUACAUCGAUGUUGUAUUUAAGUUUAUUAAAAAAGGAGAAGAUUUAAUUUUUAAGACUGUUCUUCUUUAAUUUAACUUAACGUGAUAUUAGUUUAAUUCAUUGUGAGAUAGAAUUGUUUAUCUUGAUAAUUAUUUAUUUAUAAUUUUAAUAGUACGAAAGGAAAAUUAAAAAAGGUUUAAAACUUUAAAAGGUUUGUCCUUA
rnacentral:rRNA from 1 species